AGAGUUUGAUCAUGGCUCAGAUUGAACGCUGGCGGCAUGCCUUACACAUGCAAGUCGAACGGCAGCVCGGGUGCUUGCACCUGGCGGCGAGUGGCGAACGGGUGAGUAAUACAUCGGAACGUGCCCUAGAGUGGGGGAUAACUAGUCGAAAGAUUAGCUAAUACCGCAUACGAUCUACGGAUGAAAGUGGGGGACCGCAAGGCCUCAUGCUCCUGGAGCGGCCGAUGUCUGAUUAGCUAGUUGGUGGGGUAAUAGCCUACCAAGGCGACGAUCAGUAGCUGGUCUGAGAGGACGACCAGCCACACUGGGACUGAGACACGGCCCAGACUCCUACGGGAGGCAGCAGUGGGGAAUUUUGGACAAUGGGGGAAACCCUGAUCCAGCAAUGCCGCGUGUGUGAAGAAGGCCU
rnacentral:rRNA from 1 species